GUUGUAUGGUUAAGUGACUAAGCGUACACGGUGGAUGCCUUGGCAGUCAGAGGCGAUGAAAGACGUAGUAACUUGCGAUAAGCCCAGAUUAGGUAGUAACAACCAUUUGAGUCUGGGAUUUCUGAAUGGGGAAACCCACUUACAUAAGUAAGUAUCAUUAACUGAAUACAUAGGUUAAUGAGGCGAACCGGGGGAACUGAAACAUCUAAGUACCCCGAGGAAAAGAAAUCAACCGAGAUUCCGAAAGUAGCGGCGAGCGAAAUUGGACUAGCCCUUAAGCUUUACACGCGUUAGACGAACGGUCUGGAAAGUCCGACGAUACAGGGUGAUAGUCCCGUAGUUGACGACGUGUGUUCAGUGAAAUCGAGUAGGGCGGGACACGUGAUAUCCUGUCUGAAUAUGGGGGGACCAUCCUCCAAGGCUAAAUACUACUGACUGACCGAUAGUGAACCAGUACCGUGAGGGAAAGGCGAAAAGAACCCCUGUGAGGGGAGUGAAAUAGAACCUGAAACCGUGUACGUACAAGCAGUAGGAGCAGGCUUGUCCUGUGACUGCGUACCUUUUGUAUAAUGGGUCAGCGACUUAUAUUCAGUGGCAAGGUUAACCAUCUAGGGGAGCCGUAGGGAAACCGAGUCUUAACUGGGCGUUCAGUCUCUGGAUAUAGACCCGAAACCAGGUGAUCUAGCCAUGGGCAGGUUGAAGGUUGAGUAACAUCAACUGGAGGACCGAACCGACUAAUGUUGAAAAAUUAGCGGAUGACUUGUGGCUAGGGGUGAAAGGCCAAUCAAACCUGGAGAUAGCUGGUUCUCCCCGAAAGCUAUUUAGGUAGCGCCUCGGACGAAUACUACUGGGGGUAGAGCACUGUUAAGGCUAGGGGGUCAUCCCGACUUACCAACCCUUUGCAAACUCCGAAUACCAGUAAGUACUAUCCGGGAGACACACGGCGGGUGCUAACGUCCGUCGUGGAGAGGGAAACAACCCAGACCGCCAGCUAAGGUCCCAAAUUACUACUAAGUGGGAAACGAUGUGGGAAGGCUCAGACAGCCAGGAUGUUGGCUUAGAAGCAGCCAUCAUUUAAAGAAAGCGUAAUAGCUCACUGGUCGAGUCGGCCUGCGCGGAAGAUGUAACGGGGCUAAGUAGUAAACCGAAGCUGCGGCAAUAUACUUUUGUAUAUUGGGUAGGGGAGCGUUCUGUAAGCGGUUGAAGGUGUGUGGUAACGCAUGCUGGACGUAUCAGAAGUGCGAAUGCUGACAUGAGUAACGAUAAAGGGGGUGAAAAACCUCCUCGCCGGAAGACCAAGGGUUCCUGUCCAACGUUAAUCGGGGCAGGGUAAGUCGACCCCUAAGGCGAGGCCGAAAGGCGUAGUCGAUGGGAAACGGGUUAAUAUUCCCGUACUUCUUACAAUUGCGAUGGGGGGACGGAGAAGGCUAGGUGGGCCUGGCGACGGUUGUCCAGGUUCAAGUGCGUAGGCUGAGAGAUUAGGUAAAUCCGGUUUCUCUUAAGGCUGAGACACGACGUCGAGCACCUACGGGUGUGAAGUCAUUGAUGCCAUGCUUCCAGGAAAAGCCUCUAAGCUUCAGAUUGUAAGGAAUCGUACCCCAAACCGACACAGGUGGUCGGGUAGAGAAUACCAAGGCGCUUGAGAGAACUCGGGUGAAGGAACUAGGCAAAAUGGUACCGUAACUUCGGGAGAAGGUACGCUCUCGACGGUGAAGUCCCUUGCGGAUGGAGCUAUUGAGAGUCGCAGAUACCAGGUGGCUGCAACUGUUUAUUAAAAACACAGCACUGUGCAAAAUCGUAAGAUGACGUAUACGGUGUGACGCCUGCCCGGUGCCGGAAGGUUAAUUGAUGGGGUUAGACUUCGGUCGAAGCUCUUGAUCGAAGCCCCGGUAAACGGCGGCCGUAACUAUAACGGUCCUAAGGUAGCGAAAUUCCUUGUCGGGUAAGUUCCGACCUGCACGAAUGGCGUAAUGAUGGCCACGCUGUCUCCACCCGAGACUCAGUGAAAUUGAAAUCGCUGUGAAGAUGCAGUGUACCCGCGGCUAGACGGAAAGACCCCGUGAACCUUUACUACAGCUUGGCACUGAACAUUGACCCUACAUGUGUAGGAUAGGUGGGAGGCUUUGAAGCACGUACGCCAGUAUGUGUGGAGCCGUCCUUGAAAUACCACCCUUGUAGUGUUGAUGUUCUAACGUCGACCCCUUAUCGGGGUUGCGGACAGUGCCUGGUGGGUAGUUUGACUGGGGCGGUCUCCUCCCAAAGAGUAACGGAGGAGCACGAAGGUGGGCUAAUCACGGUUGGACAUCGUGAGGUUAGUGCAAUGGCAUAAGCCCGCUUGACUGCGAGAAUGACAAUUCGAGCAGGUGCGAAAGCAGGUCAUAGUGAUCCGGUGGUUCUGAAUGGAAGGGCCAUCGCUCAACGGAUAAAAGGUACUCCGGGGAUAACAGGCUGAUACCGCCCAAGAGUUCAUAUCGACGGCGGUGUUUGGCACCUCGAUGUCGGCUCAUCACAUCCUGGGGCUGAAGUCGGUCCCAAGGGUAUGGCUGUUCGCCAUUUAAAGUGGUACGCGAGCUGGGUUUAGAACGUCGUGAGACAGUUCGGUCCCUAUCUGCCGUGGGCGUUGGAAGAUUGAAGGGGGCUGCUCCUAGUACGAGAGGACCGGAGUGGACGAACCUCUGGUGUUCGGGUUGUGUCGCCAGACGCAUUGCCCGGUAGCUAAGUUCGGAAUCGAUAACCGCUGAAAGCAUCUAAGCGGGAAGCGAGCCCUGAGAUGAGUCUUCCCUGAUACUUUAAGUAUCCUAAAGGGUUGUCGGAGACUACGACGUUGAUAGGUCAGGUGUGUAAGUGCUGUGAGGCAUUGAGCUAACUGAUACUAAUUGCCCGUGAGGCUUAACCAUACAACACCCAAGGGGUUU
rnacentral:rRNA from 1 species